rnacentral:rRNA from 1 species
CCUACGGGUGGCAGCAGUGGGGAAUAUUGCGCAAUGGGCGAAAGCCUGACGCAGCGACGCCGCGUGCGGGAUUAAGGUCUUCGGAUCGUAAACCUCUGUCAGCAGGGAAGAACGGUCACUGUGCUAAUCAGCAGUGAAUUGACGGUACCUUCAAAGGAAGCACCGGCGAACUCCGUGCCAGCAGCAGCGGUACUACGGAGGGUGCGAGCGUUAAUCGGAAUUACUGGGCGUAAAGCGCUCGUAGGCGGUAGUUCAAGUCAAGGGUGAAAGCCCCGCGCUCAACGUGGGAACUGCCUUUGAAACUGGCAAACUGGAGUGUAGGAGAGGAUAGUGGAAUUCCAGGUGUAGGAGUGAAAUCCGUAGAUAUCUGGAGGAACAUCAGUGGCGAAGGCGACUAUCUGGCACAUAACUGACGCUGAGGAGCGAAAGCGUGGGUAGCAAACAGGAUUAGAUACCCCUGUAGUC